UACAGAGGGGGCAAGCGUUGUUCGGAAUUACUGGGCGUAAAGGGCGCGUAGGCGGCCCGCUAAGUCGAACGUGAAAUCCCCGAGCUCAACUCGGGAACUGCGUCCGAUACUGGCGGGCUUGAAUCCGGGAGAGGGAUGCGGAAUUCCAGGUGUAGCGGUGAAAUGCGUAGAUAUCAGGAGGAACACCGAUGGCGAAGGCAGGUCUCUGGGCAUUAACUGACGCUGAGGAGCGAAAGCAUGGGGAGCGAACAGG
rnacentral:rRNA from 1 species